AUUGAACGCUGGCGGCAGGCCUAACACAUGCAAGUCGAACGAGUGGCGGACGGGUGAGUAGUGUCUGGGAAACUGCCUGAUGGAGGGGGAUAACUACUGGAAACGGUAGCUAAUAACGCAUACCAUCCGCUGUGCCCAGGUGGGCUUAGCUUGGUGGUGGGGUAACGGCUCACCAAGGCGACGUUCCCUAGCUGGUCUGAGAGGAUGACCGGCCACACUGGAACGGAGACACGGCCCAAACUCCUACGGGAGGCAGCAGUGGGGAAUAUUGCACAAUGGGCGCAAGCCUGAUGCAGCCAUGCCGCGUGUAUGAAGAAGGCCUUCGGGUUGUAAAGCACUUUCAGCGGGGAGGCGUUACCCGCAGAAGAAGCACCGGCUAACUCCGUGCCAGCAGCCGCGGUAAUAC
rnacentral:rRNA from 1 species